UCAAAUUAUCCUGGCGUCAGUUUAAUCAUGACCAACCUGACUUUUGUGGAAAGUAUCUAGGGCUAAAAUUAUCUCGUGAAGGUAAAAAGUAUUCACGUUUCUAGUGUUUACAUUUUAGAAUUAUGCAGAAACAACGUUGGAACAUGGAGUGAUCUAAAACAAAUUCAAAAAUUUGCUGUCAAUUUUAUUUACAUAAUUGUAAUUUAUACCAUGGAAAACGUAUCUGAGCAAAAGUUCAUUUUUGAGAAAUUUAUGAGGAAACAUUGAGGAGGCACCAAAUUUCAUUUAACUGUGGUCAUGCCGUAGCACUGCUUUGAACAUGGUACUCUUAAACAGCCAUGAACUUAACCAACUGGAAAGACAAACAGACAUUGUCAAAGAAAUUUGGUGGAAAUGAUAUCAACUCCACCCCACAAUUAAUGAUGGAAGUAUUUACAUUUAGAAGAUAACAUUUCUACAAUAAAAAUAUACAUUUUCAACAUCCUU
rnacentral:lncRNA from 1 species